rnacentral:rRNA from 1 species
ACUUUAGUGGGACAAAAGACUACGGACUAACACUCUGUGGUCUUGAUUUAACCCAAAGAAAAAGCACCGGCUAACUCUGUGC